GCCGCCAAUUUAUUCUGAUUUGUAAUCAGGGGGUCGGGAGUUCGAGUCUCUCUGGGGGCACCA
rnacentral:tRNA from 1 species